UACCUUUCAUUACAAUUAUAAACGGACGGAUGGGUUUAAAAGGUAACUUAAGUUGUCAGCUAGUUAUACUAGCGGACUGGAUUAUACAAAUAUUUGGGCAAUUAUACCCCCAAUCAAGCUAAGUUAAAAAAUUCAUUGCGUCCGCUACAAAUUCUUGUUUCAGUUCAACUCCCCUCCGCCGGACCGACAAUGACUACUCUCUUACUCUGUUCAAUCGCUGACGGCGGUCAUCCCUUAGCUCUCUCUACUUUCUCUAACUCUUCAAUUUUUAUUUUCAGUCCUAAGAGCAAAAAACUGAGGAGAAGAAGAGCGACGCCACUAAUGGCGGCGCGAGUGGAAGUUACACGCAUCUCUU
rnacentral:lncRNA from 1 species